CGUUUAGCUCAGCUGGUUUAGAGCAUCUGCCUUACAAGCAGAGGGUCGGCGGUUCGAAUCCGUCAACGCCCA
rnacentral:tRNA from 1 species